CGGUGAUUGGCGCAGCCUGGUAGCGCACUUCGUUCGGGACGAAGGGGUCGGAGGUUCG
rnacentral:tRNA from 2 species